rnacentral:rRNA from 1 species
GGUUAAGUCAGGCAACGAGCGAGAUCCGCACCUUUAUUUGCCACCAAGAAGUCACGACUUCGUUGGGAACACUAAAGGGACCGCCGUCGAUAAGACGGAGGAAGGAGCGGGCAAAGGCAGGUCAGUAUGCCCCGAAACCCCUGGGCUACACGCGGGCUGCAAUGGUAUGAACAAUGGGCUGUGACUCCGAAAGGAGAAACCAAUCCCGAAAUCAUAUCUCAGUUGGAAUUGUCGGCUGUAACCCGCCGACAUGAACGCGGAAUCCCUAGUAAUCGCGUGUCAUCAUCGCACGGUGAAUACGUCCCUGCUCCUUGCACAAA